AUCCUCAGGUUCUUAAGCAUGACGAUUGGGUGCUCAUGCUCCAUGCAUGACAUGUGCCUCCUUUGAACCUUGUUACGAACUCGGCACAUUACCCAUCUGACG
rfam:Cavia porcellus supercont2_101 genomic scaffold, whole genome shotgun sequence.